GAUGAACGCUGGCGGCGUGCUUAACACAUGCAAGUCGAACGAAGCACUUUUAUUUGAUUUCUUCGGAAUGAAGAUUUUAGUGACUGAGUGGCGGACGGGUGAGUAACGCGUGGGUAACCUGCCUCAUACAGGGGGAUAACAGUUGGAAAUGACUGCUAAUACCGCAUAAGACCACAGUACCGCAUGGUGCAGGGGUAAAAACUCCGGUGGUAUGAGAUGGACCCGCGUCUGAUUAGGUAGUUGGUGGGGUAACGGCCUACCAAGCCGACGAUCAGUAGCCGACCUGAGAGGGUGACCGGCCACAUUGGGACUGAGACACGGCCCAAACUCCUACGGGAGGCAGCAGUGGGGAAUAUUGCACAAUGGGGGAAACCCUGAUGCAGCGACGCCGCGUGAGCGAUGAAGUAUUUCGGUAUGUAAAGCUCUAUCAGCAGGGAAGAAAAUGACGGUACCUGACUAAGAAGCACCGGCUAAAUACGUGCCAGCAGCCGCGGUAAUACGUAUGGUGCAAGCGUUAUCCGGAUUUACUGGGUGUAAAGGGAGCGUAGACGGAGUGGCAGGUCUGAUGUGAAAACCCGGGGCUCAACCCCGGGACUGCAUUGGAAACUGUCAAUCUGGAGUACCGGAGAGGUAAGCGGAAUUCCUAGUGUAGCGGUGAAGUGCGUAGAUAUUAGGAGGAACACCAGUGGCGAAGGCGGCUUACUGGACGGUAACUGACGUUGAGGCUCANAAGCGUGGGGAGCAAACAGG
rnacentral:rRNA from 1 species